GCCGACAUAGCUCAGUGGUAGAGCGGCUGUUUUGUAAACAGCGGGUCGUGGGUUCAAAUCCCUCUGUCGGCUCCA
rnacentral:tRNA from 1 species